UAUCAAUAAGCGGAGGAAAAGAAACCAACAGGGAUUGCUCUAGUAACGGCGAGUGAAGCAGCAAUAGCUCAAAUUUGAAAUCUGGCGUCUUCGGCGUCCGAGUUGUAAUUUGUAGAGGAUGCUUCUGAGUAACCACCGACCUAAGUUCCUUGGAACAGGACGUCAUAGAGGGUGAGAAUCCCGUAUGCGGUCGGAAAGGUGCUCUACACGUAGCUCCUUCGACGAGUCGAGUUGUUUGGGAAUGCAGCUCUAAAUGGGAGGUAAAUUUCUUCUAAAGCUAAAUAUUGGCCAGAGACCGAUAGCGCACAAGUAGAGUGAUCGAAAGAUGAAAAGCACUUUGGAAAGAGAGUUAAAAAGCACGUGAAAUUGUUAAAAGGGAAGGGAUUGCAACCAGACUUGCUCGCGGUGUUCCGCCGGUCUUCUGACCGGUCUACUCGCCGCGUUGCAGGCCAGCAUCGUCUGGUGCCGCUGGAUAAGACUUGAGGAAUGUAGCUCCCUCGGGAGUGUUAUAGCCUCUUGUGAUGCAGCGAGCGCCGGGCGAGGUCCGCGCUUCGGCUAGGAUGCUGGCGUAAUGGUUGUAAUCCGCCCGUCUUGAAACACGGACCAAGGAGUCUAACAUCUAUGCGAGUGUUCGGGUGUCAAACCCCUACGCGUAAUGAAAGUGAACGGAGGUGAGAACCGCAAGGUGCAUCAUCGACCGAUCCUGAUGUCUUCGGAUGGAUUUGAGUAUGAGCAUAGCUGUUGGGACCCGAAAGAUGGUGAACUAUGCCUGAAUAGGGUGAAGCCAGAGGAAACUCUGGUGGAGGCUCGCAGCGGUUCUGACGUGCAAAUCGAUCGUCAAAUUUGGGUAUAGGGGCGAAAGACUAAUCGAACCAUCUAGUAGCUGGUUCCUGC
rnacentral:rRNA from 1 species